UCACAAGUAAGGAGGAUGAAUCGGCAAUUUAAAAACUUCCCACAAAGAAAAGCCCAGGCCCAGAUGACUUCACUGGCGAAUUCUACAAAACACGCUAAAGAAGCAACACCAGGACCCCUGGGGACUCAGUCGGAAAAGGAAAGAAUACUUCCCAACUCCGAGACCAGCAUUACCCUGGUACUAAAACCAAAGACAUCACAAGAAAACCGUGGGCCAGUAUCCGCUGUUAAUAAGAAGCAAAAAUUCUCCAGACAACACUAGUAAACCAAAUCCAACAAUAUAUAAGAAAGGCUACACCACGACCAAAUAGGACUCGUCCCAAGGACGCGAGAAUGGCUUAGCCCCGGACAGGCAGUGAACGGAACACACCCUACCAACGGGAAAAAGAAAUACACGGCACCUCAGGAGACGCACGAAAAACAUCUGCCAAAAUCCAGCCCCCUUCCACGAAAUCCUAAAUCUGGGCAAACUAGGAACAGAAAGGGACGUCCUCCACUCGGUAAACGUCAUCUGAGAGAGCCGGCGCUGGCAGCGGCCUCCGGAACGGGACUCGGCCGCCUGGGUGGACACCGAGCAGGAGGCCCAGCCAGAGCGCUCAGACGAGAGAAAGGAAUAAAGGCACCAGACUGGAAAGGAAGAAGUAACCGUUUGCAGGUGACGUGCUUCUAAGUCCCGGGGAACCCGCCAGAACAGCACUAGCGCUAACAAGGGAGAGAAGCAGCGCUGCCAGCCGCCGGACCCGUGAGGCGGGCAGGGGGGCAGCACGACCGGCCUGACCGCCCUGGAGAGGCCGUGCCCCCAGGGCCGCACCGCGCCGCCCUGGCUGGUAAGAGGGCUCCCCGGGCCCGGAGUGUCCACACGCACGCACUUUACGCCGAACGCCCGCUUUCCUUCUGGGCGUCCGGAAGUUUGGUGCGUGCCAGGCGGAGGGCGCCUCUGUGCCCGGCCCUGCGAACGCUCCGGGGGCCGAGCGUCCAGCGAGCGUCCUGGUGGACGGUGUCCCACGCGUGUCGUUGCAGAUCACGUCCCGUGCGACUCCGCAAGCUGGCACAUCUCUUCCCGUUGCUGAGUUUGCUUUGUAUCGUCUCGCUGCAGGAGGUCGUGGCUGUGACUCUGUGCCGAGUCCUGGGCUCCUGCAGAAUCACCACAGUGAGAAGUGCUCCUGGGGACCCUUGACAGGGUGGCUGUAAAAGCGGGAUUCCCUAGCGCUCAGACCCACCGACUCGUGUGGAGAGCCUUAUUUUGCAAAGGAAGGAUGAAGGGGUGAGGUGUGACAUACCUCUGGUGCCCGGGUGGCCGUGAAAUCGUCCGUGGCGUGAAACACUGGCUGAGCUGCUGUUUGUAGUGAGGGUACAAGUUACCUGUGGGACCCGGAAAUGACAGAUCCAGUCCCAGGAGAGCGGGCUUGGGUCCCCUGGCUACCGGGAGGGGGACAGUGCCACGCAGGUGAUGCUUGGGCUCCUCUUCUCCAGGUGGGUGGGAGGAAGCGUCCCGAAUUCCCAAGAGUGGGGCUCGGAUGGGCCGAAAACGUUCAAAGUGUGCACUGCCCUUCUCUCCGAGUGGGAGAAGGAAUGUUAGAUCAGGUCCCUGGCCUGGAACAAAGUUUUAGAUAAGACUGCUGCUGCGUCCCCCCCCCCCCUCCUAUUCCAGCUGGGAUCUUCCCAGAAGCUGUAAGGUUAGCCCUGGAAAGACCGUAACUGUUAGGGGUGUGAGUAAAUUUUCAGUAAGAAAAAAAUGGAAUUUUGGGG